UCAUCGCGGUGGCCCGGAGCAACAUAGUCCCGUCCCGACCGCAUGCGGUGGGGCGGAGACAGAGCGUACGCGCUGAGACCCGAAAGAUGGUGAACUAUUCCUGAGCAGGACGAAGCCAGAGGAAACUCUGGUGGAAGUCCGAAGCGAUUCUGACGUGCAAAUCGAUCGUCUGACUUGGGUAUAGGGGCGAAAGACUAAUCGAACCAUCUAGUAGCUGGUUCCCUCCGAANGGCCUGUCCAACGGGUGGUCGCCAGCUCACCUUUGCGUGUCUUUGAGUCGGGUUGUUUGGGAUCGCAGCCCAAAGCAGGUGGUAAACUUCAUCUAAGACUGAAUAUGACCACGAGUCCGAUAGCGAACAAGUACUGUGAAGGAAAGUUGCAAAGCACUUUGAAGAGAGAGUUAAAAAGGACGUGAAACCGAUGAGGUGGAAACGGACAGAGCCGGCGUAUCUGGCCUGUAUUCAGCCAUGGGUCUCUGGCGCCAGGCGGUCGCUCUCCAGAUUGGGACGACUGUCUGGCUGCUCGGGUGUCUGUGGUGCAUUUGCAGGUGGAGUGCGCUGAGGCGGUCGGGGCAGCGGCAUGAGCUCGGUUUUGAGGCCAGCCCUUCGGGGUCUGGUACCCGAACAGGGGGAGUGCUGUUUGGCCUGGCCGGCAGGGGGAAUGGUUUCGGGCUCGAUUGGGUGCCGAGCUGGCAGUCGGUGGCGGUCGCAUGCGACACGUGCCAGCGGUCAGUUCGGUCCUGGUCGAGCUCUCAAAGCUCCAUCCUCGGUGUAAAAGCUGGUCAUCUGUCCGACCCGUCUUGAAACACGGACCAAGGAGUUUAGCGUGUGCGCGAGUCAUUGGGCGUUGAAAACCCAAAGGCGCAAUGAAAGUGAAGGUCUCCCUUGCGGAGUUGAUGUGUGACCCGGGUCAUCGCGGUGGCCCGGAGCAACAUAGUCCCGUCCCGACCGCAUGCGGUGGGGCGGAGACAGAGCGUACGCGCUGAGACCCGAAAGAUGGUGAACUAUUCCUGAGCAGGACGAAGCCAGAGGAAACUCUGGUGGAAGUCCGAAGCGAUUCUGACGUGCAAAUCGAUCGUCUGACUUGGGUAUAGGGGCGAAAGACUAAUCGAACCAUCUAGUAGCUGGUUCCCUCCGAAGUUUCCCCCAGGAUAGCUGGAGCUCGCUUGAGCAGUUAUACUCGGUAAAGCGAAUGAUUAGAGGACUUGGGGACGAAAUGUCCUUAACCUAUUCUCAAACUCUAAAUGGGUAUGAAGCCGGGGUUGCUUGACUCUCUCUGUGAACCCAGGCGUUGAAUGCUGGAGCUCCAAGUGGGCCAUUUUUGGUAAGCAGAACUGGCGAUGUGGGAUGAACCAAACGCGGAGUUAAGGUGCCAAAGUGCCCGCUCAUUAGACCCCAUAAAAGGUGUUGGUUGAUAUAGACAGCAGGACGGUGGCCAUGGAAGUCGGAAUCCGCUAAGGAGUGUGUAACAACUCACCUGCCGAAUCAACUAGCCCUGAAAAUGGAUGGCGCUGGAGCGGGCCACCUAUACUUCGCCGUCAUUGGCUUGUACUGUCUCCACACAUGAGCAAGUCUGGCCAUGACGUGUAGGAGGGUCGUGGCGGUAGCGUUGAAGGCUUUGGGCGUGGGCCCAGCUGGAGCUGCCGCCAGUGCAGAUCUUGGUGGUAGUAGCAAAUAUUCAAGUGAGAUCCUUGAAGACUGAAGUGGAGAAGGGUUCCACGUGAACAGCAGUUGAAUGUGGGUCAGCCGAUCCUAAGGCACCGGCUAAGGCCGUCACACACUACGGAUGAAGAUCUGGUUGCGCUUGCGUUGCCGAUCCAUCCGGUUGCCGAAAGGGAAGUGGGUUAACAUUCCCACGCCAGGCCAGGGAGAUGACGGUUCGCAAGAGCCGUUUCGCGCGGUAACGCAAAUGAACUCGCAGACGUUGUGUGGAGUCCGAGCCAGAGUUCUCUUUUCUGGUUUAGGACGCGUGUCCCUGGAAUCGGUUCAGCCUGAGGUAGGGAUGUUGCGUCCGUAAAGCACCGCGGUUCCUGUGGUGUCUCGUGCGCCCCACACGACCCGUGAAAAUGCGAGGGAAGCGAUGUGAAUUUCCUGCCUGAUCGUACCGAUAUCCGCAGCAGGUCUCCAAGGUGAACAGCCUCUAGUCGAUAGAAUAAUGUAGGUAAGGGAAGUCGGCAAAUUAGAUUCGUAACUUCGGGAAAAGAAUUGGCUCUAAAGGUCGGGUCAGCCGGGCUGUUGUGUGAAACAGGCGGCCUUUGCCCGUGGCUGCGUGCUGGCUCGCAAGGGUUGGCGCGUGGACUAGUGGUGAGGGUUGCUUGUGGAGCGCUUCAGCUGCGUGUACGCUCGCAAGGGUGUGCACUUCGGUUGGCGCUGAACGACCAGUUUAGAACUGGCACGAACUCGGGGAAUCCGACUGUCUAAUUAAAACAGAGGAGACGGAUGGUCCUUGCGGACGUUGACCGUGUCUGAUUUCUGCCCAGUGCUCUGAAUGUUAAGCCAAGGAAACUUGAUUAAGCGCGGGUAAACGGCGGGAGUAACUAUGACUCUCUUAAGGUAGCCAAAUGCCUCGUCCUCCAAUUAGGGACGCGCACGAAUGGAUCAACGAGAUUCCCACUGUCCCUAUCUACUAUCUAGCGAAACNGCAAAAAGUAUCAAAAUUGAUCCUUCGCAAAAAAUAUCAAAAUGGAUUUAGAGUGAAAAAUUAAAGAUAUAAAUAACUUAAGCAAAUUAAAUAAAAAUAAGAAAAAUUUUUAAUUUUUUAAAUGAUAAAUUGAUUUAAUUAAUUUUUUUGGUGGAAAGAACAAAAAGUCGAUGAAAGAAGUUAAUUUUCGUCUCUUGAGAUAAAUUGAUUUAGGUCUUAAGAUGUAAAACUCGCCAAAAAUUGAUGAAGGAAUAAUCGGGCAAGUAAAUUAGAUAAGAAUCAAAAUAUAUUUCUCAGGCCCGUAGCCAGGAAAAAUUUUCGGGGGGGGGGUCACCAAGGGGAAGAGGGGUCGGGUGGGGUUUCCGGUGGCCCCGAUAGGGACCGCCGGAGAAAAUUUUGAAGAAUUUUGACGCUUUUUAAAGGAAAUCGGUUCAAAUUUUUCAAAAAAAUACUUAAAAAUAUUUUAACAGGAGGGCCCCUUUCAUUUUUUGGUCUUGGCGGGGGACAUGUUCCACCUGGCUACGGGUACGGGCCUGAUAUUUCCAUAUUAUAUAUAUUUUAUUUUAAAUCUAUUUUAGCUCUAAUUUUGCAAUCAAAAUCCAUUUUGAUACUUUUUGCGGAACGCCCUUUUUGAUACUUUUUGCGGAACGCCCUUUUUGAUAUUUUUUGCGGAAUGACUCAGCACGAAAAUGAUCAAAGUUUUUAAAAAAUUCUUUUAUUUUACACCAAAUUCCCGA
rnacentral:rRNA from 1 species